rnacentral:rRNA from 1 species
CGCAUCUGUGCAUGCAGCAUAUCAAUAAGCGGAGGAAAAGAAACUAACAAGGAUUCCCUUAGUAACGGCGAGUGAAGCGGGAAGAGCUCAAAUUUGAAAUCUUAAAGGGUUUCCCUUUACGAAUUGUAGUUUAAAGAAGUGUUUUCUGUUGAGGUUUUGGUAAAAGUUCUUUGGAAUAGGACAUCAUAGAGGGUGAGAAUCCCGUAUUUGACCUUUACUUUCAACUUUGUGAUACACUUUCAAAGAGUCGGAUUGUUUGGGAAUGCAGUCCAAAAUGGGUGGUAAAUUUCAUCUAAAGCUAAAUAUUGGCGAGAGACCGAUAGCGAACAAGUACCGUGAGGGAGAGAUGAAAAGAACUUUGAAAAGAGAGUUAAACAGUACGUGAAAUUGUCAAAAGGGAAGCGUUUGACACCAGUGUUGUUUUUCUGAAAAUCAAUUAAAGAACUGUUUAUGCUAAGUUGUUUAGACUUUAUCAGCUAUCUGUUUAGUUUUGAGCUUUUCUUUAAUGCACUUUUCAGUUAACAAGUCAACAUCAAUUUCUUUUGCUGUAAAAAAGCUUGAGGAAGGUGGCUUGAGAUUCGUCUUAAGUGUUUAUAGCCUCUUGCCUAUGCAGUCGGAGAGAUUGAGGUCUGCAGCGUAGAUCCUUCGGGGCUAAAUGCAUUUGUGCUAAGUUAUAGCAUUUUAUAGACAACUUGUUGACUAUGAUUUGUCUUGUAGCUUACUCGCUUAUGCUAUUUUACCUACGCUUAGGAUGUUGACACACGCGCGUGCUCGAUAGUCUAUACAUGACUCUGUGCAUAUCAAUAAGCGGAGGAAAAGUAUGCUGUAUACCUACGCUUAGGAUGUUGAUAGUCACAGCGUGUAC